AAUUUUGGACAACGGGGGAAACCCUGAUCCAGCCAUCCCGCGUGUAUGAUGAAGGCCUUCGGGUUGUAAAGUACUUUAAGUUGGGAGGAAGGGCAGUAAGUUAAUACCUUGCUGUUUUGACGUUACCAACAGAAUAAGCACCGGCUAACUCUGUGCCAGCAGCCGCGGUAAUACAGAGGGUGCAAGCGUUAAUCGGAAUUACUGGGCGUAAAGCGCGCGUAGGUGGUUUGUUAAGUUGGAAGUGAAAGCCCCGGGCUCAACCUGGGAACUGCUUUCAAAACUGGCAAGCUAGAGUACGGUAGAGGGUAGUGGAAUUUCCUGUGUAGCGGUGAAAUGCGUAGAUAUAGGAAGGAACACCAGUGGCGAAGGCGACUACCUGGACUGAUACUGACACUGAGGUGCGAAAGCGUGGGGAGCAAAC
rnacentral:rRNA from 1 species